CGGCGCGGCGAGCACAACAAAAACAACACACACACGUGGUUCCUCUCUACCUGUGAUUCGUGCCCCACAGGUGUUGCGGCAGCUGGUUACCGUGCACAACUGUGACCGCCGAUGUCCUCCAUCAGUGUGAUGCAGAAGAAGCGUUCCGCCGUUUGGCGCCACUUUGCGGAGGAAGGUGAGAACAAGGUAGCUUGCCGGACGUGCCACAAGCGGCUGACCAAGCACGGCAACACCUCCAUGAUGCUGCGGCACCUGCGGGGGAAGCACCCAGAGCUGAUGCAUUGCCUCCUCAUUGACGGGGAAGGGCCCGGCAAUGACGACGGCUGGAACGUGGAUGAGGGCCAGGUGGACGAGGUGGUGGAGACCCUGCCCCAGAUGGAUCCCUCAGUGAAGAAGAAGCGGUCAACAGUGUGGAAGCACUUCCAGGAGGAGGGGACGGACAAGGUGAGCUGCCGCAUCUGUAACGAGAAGCUGGCCAAGCACGGCAACACAUCGUCCAUGCUGCGCCACCUGCGAGGGAAGCACCCGCAGCUCAAACUUGGGGACCUGCAAGGAGACAAUAGGAAGCUGAACCGCCUGCACCUCCGCUCCAGCAACACUGAGGCGCGUUUCUUGUCGGUAUGCGAGCGACUGCUUCUCAACAACCAGCUAACUGACUGCACGCUGGUGGCCGAGGGGCAGUUUGUGCAGGCCCACCGCCUUGUGCUGGCCACCUGCAGCGAGGUCUUCGAGGAGAUGUUCAAGACAGUGUGCCAGACUAACCCGGUGGUAGUGUUGCGUGACGUCAGCCUCCAGGAGCUGCGUGGCCUCAUCAGCUACAUGUACAAGGGGGAGACCCUCGUCAAGUCCCACGACCUGCCGGGCCUCCUCAAAGCCGCCACCCAGCUCAAGAUCAAGGGUCUGUGCCAGGUUGGCGUGACAGACCCGUGGUUUGACGACUCGCGGACGCCCACCGCCUCUGCAGCCGCCGCUUCCCCGCACCACCACCACCACCACCCCCACCACGUGACCCCUAAGCAGGACAUGACCUUCUUCCACGACGACCACGAAAUGGAGGACAUGGAUGAGGACGACUCAGAACACCCAGGCCAGGACAAGAAAACCAACACAGCCACAAUUAACCUCAUGGCGAUGUGUGAGGAGGUGGUGCUGGACGAAAGUGGCGGUGGCGGUGGCAGUGGACUGGUGACAGAGGACGGCGGACGGACCCUCAAACGUGUGCAGAUCAAGCUGGAGCAUGGCAUGGGGGUGGCCGAGGAGAUGGGAGCAGCAGUGCCCUCCAUUGGCCUUUCUUCCCACCAGAGUCCCGAUGCCUUUCUCACAGCCUCACAGGAAGAGGUCAUGAUCCACCAUGAUGCCGAGGAGAUGCAGCAGCAGCAGGACCAUGGCGGCAUAAGAGAUGACCCGCUGGCCUGCACUACUGUCAAGGUCACAACCAAUGCCAGUGCGACUGAUCUCACUGACCAGGGCAUGCCGGGCAUCCUGACAGCCAAUGGCACUGUGAUGAGAGUAGGCAACUCUGCCCCACAGCAGACACCAGCAUCAGUCCAGAGUGCCAUUGACAGCGAGGGUCUGAUCCUGCUGGGCCUGGCUGGGGGAGGGCCCGAGACGCAGGGGAGGGUGUUUCCCGGACCCUCACACCCCCAGCUAGACACCCCCUCCCGGCUGCCCUCCCUCAGACGCCUCCGCAAGUACUCAAAACAAGAUCUAUUGACUGCUCUCAACCUGAUUCGUGACGGGCAUCUAGGCAUCAAGCCGGCUGCCCGGGCCUUCAACAUCCCUGUGGCAACUCUUUACAAUGCCACUAAACGUCAUGACAUCUCCAGUCCCAUGAAGCAGGUAUAAUGCAUCCACACCUGGGGUUUGGAGAGAGAGGAGGAGGAUGAGAAGUAGCAGGAGGAGUAUUUGCAUCAGGGUGCCAACAAGGACAUCUGGCAAAACAAAGGGUCACUCUUGGUCAGCACGGAUGGCAUCCACUACCAGUGUCUCCCGUCACGCUCUCCAUCGCUUCCUGAGACAUCAUAACUCUUCAUACUUUUCCCCCUUCCUCUCCUCCUGCUCUUGGUCAUUCAUAAGGAGGCCAGGAGUCUGCUCAUUUGUGUUGCAUCAUCUGUUGUAUUCCAAAGAACGUGUGAAGGGCGACAGGAUGUUGUUUUAAGUCCUAUUCUUGGGUCAUUACUCUUGAUGCUUUGGUCUUGUCCUCCUCACGAGUCGUCCUGCUUACUUCUGUAUACAAGAGUUGGGUCUCUGCAGGCCUGCUUCAAGGGUAGUGCGUGAAAGCUGUACCAAUGGAAGGUGUGUAAAUGGAGGACUUUCAUUUGCCCCACAACACUUCUCUAGCAUCAGUUAACCAUGAGGUAUUUAGGAUGGGCAUUCUAUAUAUUUAUAAUUAUUACUUUUAUGUAUGAUACUAACGGGGAACUGAGAGCCUUUGUAAUGCCAAAGGCCUCGCCAUAGAUUAAAUUAAGAUAGGAAGAAUGUCUAUUUUUCCAUGUAGCCACAGGUUUGGCAAGCUGCUUCAGUUGACUUUGUGUGUAUAUCAUGAGCUGUGGCAGGAAAGUCACCUGAGGAAGGCUCUUUCAGAUACCAGACAUGUAUACAUAUGACUUAUUCAUUCAAUUAUCCCUAAAGUAAGGAAAGAUAUCAAUUUGUAUGUAUUUGUAACCUUUGUUUCAUGUGUUUGUUUGUGUGCGUUCCCCGACAUUUCUUUGUUAAGCAUAAAUCCAAAAGUUGAGUAGUCAAUGGGCCAUGAGGAAGGGACAGCUUGGGAAGGCAAAUCCACAAGUAAAACAAAAUUUAUGCCAAAGUGAUUGCCAGGAAUUGCAAAACAAAGGUCAGCAUUUGUCUUUAUUGCCAAAGAAUUGAGUUUUGAGCGGCUGUGUCCUUCCCUCUCCGUCCCUCGCGGCUGGACUACAAUGCUCAAGAUUAUAGUCAUUACUCUGAGACCUCCGAAUGAAUGUUGCUAUUCUUUUAUCUCGUGUGUAAUAAUGGCUUUUUUUUUUUUUACUUAUAAUUUAACAUUAGGAUGGAGGAUAAUUUAACAUUAGGAUGGAGGCUGACUACUGUUUUGUUUGAGUGUUGUAGAAAAUGUGUCAUUCUUGGAAUCACAUACAGACAAUGUUUUGGAGUUGAAACAUUGAAACAUGAGAGGAAAUUACAUUAUUUAAUUUUUUGGCUAAAUGGACUUACAUGAAACUAAAUCACAUAUAUGUAUAUAUAUGUUUACUUUUGUUGGGUAGGAAAUUAUUUUUCUUUCAUUGCUUUUGAGUUUCAGAGCAGACUGAAGAUCCACCAUUGAGGGUCAGGUUUCACUAUUCAUGUUUUGUUUCACUGCUUCAGGUUCACUGGUGAUGAGGUGCCAAGGUUUCACAGCAAGUGAAUCCUCCAGGAACUCUCAUUAGGCUUAACUAGUGUUUGGAGUACAUACAAACAUGCAUGGUUAUGUAAUUGACUUUGUACUUGUAUGGAAGUGACAGAAUUGAAGACAAAGUGCUUAGGAAGGUUAAAAAGUUUCUAUGAAGUGUAUUCUUUCUGAUUUUUGUGCUUGUGACAGAGUGGAGUAACAGAACAUUACGAGUGUGUGAGAGAGAGAGAGAGAGAGAGAGAGAGAGAGAGAGAGAGAGAAAGUGUGUGUAUGUGUGCUUGUUUGUUACAAGGCUCCUCUGAUACACACGGUCAGCACAGCCCCAGGAGGAGGAGGUUUCCUAGGACAGAUAAGUGUAAGCAUUGUGUAUACUUUUCUGAGAGCAGAAAACAAACACAGUUUAGCUGUUUCCUAUUAUGGUGCAUGUCUGUUUUCUCACAAAUAAGCUUUUCUGCGAGAAAAUUCUACAUAGCAGACCUUGUCCAGCAUCAUUGUUUUCUGCAACGACAUUGCCAUAGUGAAUUAUGGCAAAAACUUCAAGACCACAGAGUUGAAGCCUUAUUAUAUCUUGUAAAAGUGGAGAUGCACAAAAUAAUGCUGCUGGUCCUGGGGUGGAUGUAUGUAUGUAAUCAUAUGUAACAUAACAGCCUGGCUAACCAGGCUGACUGCCUUAUCACAUCACUACUCGUAGGUGUUACAAAUUUCGCACGUCUGCCGUCUGGGUGACAAUUAUUUUCCCAAGUGUAUGUAAAGUAUAAUAUAUGACAUUUACUCUCCACACAUGCUACUUGUUGUGUUUGGGUGGCGGUGCAACAAGCGGCUCACCUACACCUGCGUGUUGUUGUGGUGGAAGGAAACCGUUCCGUUUUGGUGUUUGUUGGUGGCGCAGUAAGGCGUUUUUGUGCACCGUUUUGCAAAAGAUUUUAUUCAGACAAUUUGACUCUUGACAGGUUCAGUUACAUUUGCAUGACUCACAGCAAACUAGUCACUAAUUCUCCAUAUGGACAGGUGUUGUAGAGGAGGUAAUUGCAGUGUUCAUUUUCAAACUCCAUUAAAAUUAUGAUUAACUUAGUUUGGUGAAUAUAAGUAGUUCUUAAUGUUAUUUCCAUACAACUAGGAUUUAGGAAAUAAUAAGUAGCCUCCACUUCAAAUAUUUCAUAAUGAUUUUUUGACGGACAGACACCAGAACGACAGCAGAUGUUACCAAUGCAAUAAUCUGCUUCUGAACAUAAUGUUCAUCAUUUAAACAAUAUGAAAUCCAAUAAACAUUCACAUAAUG